ensembl:lncRNA
ACCGCAUGGUGACCAGUCUGAGCACUCAGCUGAUGACGGAAACGGACCAUCUACUUAUCCACAGGUCCAACAUCAAACUGGAGGUUCAGCAGCAGAGUCUGGGAGAGGGAUCGAGCGGGCCUAAGUUCUGUGGUCCAGACGUAGAGAGCAUCACCAACAUAGACUGUAUCUCAGUCCCCACGCAGAACAUGCAGAAUCUCCAUGACAACGGCUUCCAGAAGGUGACUGUGGUCAACACGUGGUACAGUUCCCUGCGGCCUCUUUUCAACGCGGGGGAGAACAUCACCAUGAUUCCCAUCGUCACCGAUGGCAUCCAGAGGUACCUGGGCACCAUCCUGGGCUCCUCUGUCAUCUCUACUACAGUCCUGGGGGACGGACAGCCUGUCAGCAUGGCUGUGCGCUUCCAGCUCCAACACAGAUCUCAAGUAAAGACCUCAGUGUCUGACACUCACAUGGACUAUAUUCCUCUAUGCACUAUAUACCUCUGCC